rnacentral:rRNA from 1 species
CAAUAGCGUAUAUUAAAGCUGUUGCGGUUAAAAAGCUCGUAGUUGGAUUUCUGUCAAGGACAACUGGUCCGCCCCUCGGGUGAGCACAUAGUUUGGUCUUGGCAUCUUGUUGGAAACUGUUGCUGCACUUGGUUGUGUGGCGCCGUGUCCAGCACUUUCACUUUGAGGAAAUUGGAGUGUUUCAAGCAGGCACAUGCCUUUGGACACAGUAGCAUGGAAUAAUUAGAUUGGGCUUUUGCUCCAACUUGUCGGUUUCUGGAGCUGAGGUGAGAAUUAAUGGGGAUUGUUGGGGGCAUCCGAAUUUAGCCGUCAGAGGUGAAAUUCUUGGAUCUGCUAAAGACGGACAACUGCGAAAGCGUUUGCCCAGGAUGUUUUCAUUGA